rnacentral:lncRNA from 1 species
UGCUGUUUGAAUUUUUUUGUGACAUUGGGACUUGAAAGGGAGUCUUAAUUCUUAAAGAUUGUUGGCUGUGGGUUUUGUUUUUCUGUCUUGCUGUGCCAGUGUAUAUAUACUCACACUGAUGGGGAUGUUUUGGCAGAUCUAAGUCUUGAAUGAAGUCAACUAUGAUUAUGGACUACUAUUGCAGCAGCACUUUGUGUGGAUUACAGUAUCAUAGUGUUGUAAUUACAAUGACUAACUGUAAUGUGAAGUGAUGACAUAUACAUAAAUAAUACAUUGAUGCAUAAAUUAAAUACAUUUCAUGGUCAUUAAUCAAUUAAUCAAUGAAUGUAUUACCUGGAAGCCUAUUACCAUACACAUUAAUUAAGAGUAUUGUACAAUUCUGCUGAAUUUGGUUUUGUUUUCAAUAUUUUCUGAAUAUAAUCAAGGUUGGUUUGAAUGUCAACAUGAAUCCUGAAGGCAUUCUAUUGUCUCAAUAGCACGAGUCGUUUAAUCUGGAUGACAUCUGUAACAAAGUCAGGUUCAGAGUCUAAUGCAGCAAUAUCAUAUUAGCACUACUUCUCCUAAAAUGCCAAAUGGUUUGAGAUUGUCACGUCUUUCAUUUUUCACUCAAUAACAUGUUAUUUCUCAGACCAGGGAGGUUUCAUCUCUAUCACUUUGUGACCAAAUGAAAUACAUUAACCUCAGACAAGCCUGCUGGGCCAUCGCUGGAGGACGGAGAGCUAAGACAAUCAAAUGAAAAACAUGCCUGUAGUGGCACCAUGCAUGGAACCAGUCUCAUUAUCAUUCUGUCUCGUGUGUACAGGACAGGUGUGUGUGUUCUCCAACAUACAUUUUUAUCUCUCACCAUUCCCUAAUUGAACAUCCUGCUGAAAAUGAAUUCCUCUCUCCGUCUUCUCACCUAUUGUCUGCAGGGCUGUGCCUCGUAGGAUCACCUGAGGAGAAUGGGUCUGGAGAGAUGGGAGUGCUACCCUACUGUAUUGACUGCUAUUCUUCAGCCACAGGCUCUUUCAGAUUUUCUGCCCAUUGUCAGUUACAGUAUUGAUUAAA